rnacentral:rRNA from 1 species
AUUGAACGCUGGCGGCAUGCCUUACACAUGCAAGUCGAACGGCAGCACGGGAGCAAUCCUGGUGGCGAGUGGCGAACGGGUGAGUAAUAUAUCGGAACGUGCCCAGUCGUGGGGGAUAACGCAACGAAAGCUGUGCUAAUACCGCAUACGAUCUACGGAUGAAAGCGGGGGGUCGCAAGACCUCGCGCGAUUGGAGCGGCCGAUAUCAGAUUAGCUAGUUGGUGAGGUAAAGGCGCACCAAGGCGACGAUCUGUAGCUGGGCUGAGAGGACGACCAGCCCCACUGGAAGUGAGACACGGUCCAGACUCCUACGGGAGGCAGGAGUGGGGAAUUUUGGACAAUGGGCGCAAGCCUGAUCCAGCAAUGCCGCGUGCAGGAUGAAGGCCUUCGGGUUGUAAACUGCUUUUGUACGGAGCGAAACGGUCGUUCCUAAUACGAGAGGCUAAUGACGGUACCGUAAGAAUAAGCACCGGCUAACUACGUGCCAGCCGCCGCCGUAA